rnacentral:misc_RNA from 1 species
UUUCCGUAGGUGAACCUGCGGAAGGAUCAUUAUUGAAUGAACUUGGCGUGGUUGUCGCUGGCCCUCUCGGGGGUAUGUGCACGCCCGCCAUCUUUAUCUUUCCACCUGUGCACACUUUGUAGACUUGAAUAGUAUUUUCUGAGGCAACUCAGUCGGGAGGAUUGCUGGUAUUUAUCAGCUCUCCUUGCAUUAUUCAAGCCUAUGUUUUUCAUAUACCCCAAAAAUGUAACAGAAUGUAUCAUUGGGCCUUGUGCCUAUGAACUAUAUACAACUUUCAGCAACGGAUCUCUUGGCUCUC